UACGGGAGGCAGCAGUGGGGGAUAUUGCACAAUGGAGGAAACUCUGAUGCAGCGAUGCCGCGUGAGGGAAGAAGGUUUUCGGAUUGUAAACCUCUGUCUUAGGGGACGAGAAAGGACGGNACCCUACAGAGGAAGCUCCGGNUAACUACUGUGCCAGCAGCCGCGGUAAU
rnacentral:rRNA from 1 species